UACAGAGGGGGCAAGCGUUGUUCGGAAUUACUGGGCGUAAAGGGCGCGUAGGCGGCCGCCUAAGUCAGACGUGAAAUCCCUCGGCUCAACCGGGGAACUGCGUCUGAUACUGGGUGGCUUGAAUCCGGGAGAGGGAUGCGGAAUUCCAGGUGUAGCGGUGAGAUGCGUAGAUAUCUGGAGGAACACCGGUGGCGAAGGCGGCAUCCUGGACCGGCAUUGACGCUGAGGCGCGAAAGCCAGGGGAGCAAACGGG
rnacentral:rRNA from 1 species